UUAAGCGACUAAGCGUACACGGUGGAUGCCCUGGCAGUCAGAGGCGAUGAAGGACGUGCUAAUCUGCGAAAAGCGUCGGUAAGGUGAUAUGAACCGUUAUAACCGGCGAUGUCCGAAUGGGGAAACCCAGUGCAAUUCGUUGCACUAUCGUUAACUGAAUACAUAGGUUAACGAGGCGAACCGGGGGAACUGAAACAUCUAAGUACCCCGAGGAAAAGAAAUCAACCGAGAUUCCCCCAGUAGCGGCGAGCGAACGGGGAGCAGCCCGGAGUCUGAAUCAGCUUGUGUGUUAGUGGAAGCGUCUGGAAAGUCGCAGGGUACAGGGUGAUACUCCCGUACACUAAAACACACAGGCUGUGAACUCGAAGAGUAGGGCGGGACACGUGGUAUCCUGUCUGAAUAUGGGGGGACCAUCCUCCAAGGCUAAAUACUCCUGACUGACCGAUAGUGAACCAGUACCGUGAGGGAAAGGCGAAAAGAACCCCGGCGAGGGGAGUGAAAAAGAACCUGAAACCGUGUACGUACAAGCAGUAGGAGCCCACUAGUUGGGUGACUGCGUACCUUUUGUAUAAUGGGUCAGCGACUUAUAUUCUGUAGCAAGGUUAACCGAAUAGGGGAGCCGCAGGGAAACCGAGUCUUAACUGGGCGUUAAGUUGCAGGGUAUAGACCCGAAACCCGGUGAUCUAGCCAUGGGCAGGUUGAAGGUUGGGUAACACUAACUGGAGGACCGAACCGACUAAUGUUGAAAAAUUAGCGGAUGACUUGUGGCUGGGGGUGAAAGGCCAAUCAAACCGGGAGAUAGCUGGUUCUCCCCGAAAGCUAUUUAGGUAGCGCCUCGUGAACUCAUCUUCGGGGGUAGAGCACUGUUUCGGCUAGGGGGUCAUCCCGACUUACCAACCCGAUGCAAACUACGAAUACCGAAGAAUGUUAUCACGGGAGACACACGGCGGGUGCUAACGUCCGUCGUGAAGAGGGAAACAACCCAGACCGCCAGCUAAGGUCCCAAAGUCAUGGUUAAGUGGGAAACGAUGUGGGAAGGCCCAGACAGCCAGGAUGUUGGCUUAGAAGCAGCCAUCAUUUAAAGAAAGCGUAAUAGCUCACUGGUCGAGUCGGCCUGCGCGGAAGAUGUAACGGGGCUAAACCAUGCACCGAAGCUGCGGCAGCGACGCUUAUGCGUUGUUGGGUAGGGGAGCGUUCUGUAAGCCGUUGAAGGUGGCCUGUGAGGGUUGCUGGAGGUAUCAGAAGUGCGAAUGCUGACAUAAGUAACGAUAAUGCGGGUGAAAACCCCGCACGCCGGAAGACCAAGGGUUCCUGUCCAACGUUAAUCGGGGCAGGGUGAGUCGACCCCUAAGGCGAGGCCGAAAGGCGUAGUCGAUGGGAAACAGGUUAAUAUUCCUGUACUUGGUGUUACUGCGAAGGGGGGACGGAGAAGGCUAUGUUGGCCGGGCGACGGUUGUCCCGGUUUAAGCAUGUAGGCGGAUGUUCCAGGUAAAUCCGGAACGUUAUUAACGCUGAGGUGUGAUGACGAGGCACUACGGUGCUGAAGUGACAAAUGCCCUGCUUCCAGGAAAAGCCUCUAAGCAUCAGGUAACAUCAAAUCGUACCCCAAACCGACACAGGUGGUCAGGUAGAGAAUACCAAGGCGCUUGAGAGAACUCGGGUGAAGGAACUAGGCAAAAUGGUGCCGUAACUUCGGGAGAAGGCACGCUGAUGGUAAGUGAAGUGACUUGCUCAUGGAGCUGAAAUCAGUCGAAGAUACCAGCUGGCUGCAACUGUUUAUUAAAAACACAGCACUGUGCAAACACGAAAGUGGACGUAUACGGUGUGACGCCUGCCCGGUGCCGGAAGGUUAAUUGAUGGGGUUAUCCUCGCGGAGAAGCUCUUGAUCGAAGCCCCGGUAAACGGCGGCCGUAACUAUAACGGUCCUAAGGUAGCGAAAUUCCUUGUCGGGUAAGUUCCGACCUGCACGAAUGGCGUAAUGAUGGCCAGGCUGUCUCCACCCGAGACUCAGUGAAAUUGAACUCGCUGUGAAGAUGCAGUGUACCCGCGGCAAGACGGAAAGACCCCGUGAACCUUUACUAUAGCUUGACACUGAACACUGGUCCUUGAUGUGUAGGAUAGGUGGGAGGCUUUGAAGUGUGGACGCCAGUCUGCAUGGAGCCGUCCUUGAAAUACCACCCUUUAAUGGCUGGUGUUCUAACGUGGGCCCGUGAUCCGGGUUGCGGACAGUGUCUGGUGGGUAGUUUGACUGGGGCGGUCUCCUCCUAAAGAGUAACGGAGGAGCACGAAGGUCAGCUAAUCCUGGUCGGACAUCAGGAGGUUAGUGCAAUGGCAUAAGCUGGCUUGACUGCGAGCGUGACGGCGCGAGCAGGUGCGAAAGCAGGUCAUAGUGAUCCGGUGGUUCUGAAUGGAAGGGCCAUCGCUCAACGGAUAAAAGGUACUCCGGGGAUAACAGGCUGAUACCGCCCAAGAGUUCAUAUCGACGGCGGUGUUUGGCACCUCGAUGUCGGCUCAUCACAUCCUGGGGCUGAAGUAGGUCCCAAGGGUAUGGCUGUUCGCCAUUUAAAGUGGUACGCGAGCUGGGUUUAGAACGUCGUGAGACAGUUCGGUCCCUAUCUGCCGUGGGCGCUGGAGAAUUGAGGGGGGCUGCUCCUAGUACGAGAGGACCGGAGUGGACGCAUCACUGGUGUUCGGGUUGUCAUGCCAAUGGCAUUGCCCGGUAGCUAAAUGCGGAAGAGAUAAGUGCUGAAAGCAUCUAAGCACGAAACUUGCCCCGAGAUGAGUUCUCCCUGACCCUUUAAGGGUCCUGAAGGAACGUUGAAGACGACGACGUUGAUAGGCCGGGUGUGUAAGCGCAGCGAUGCGUUGAGCUAACCGGUACUAAUGAACCGUGAGGCUUAACCUU
rnacentral:rRNA from 1 species